GAAAAGGGAAUCAGAGAGCACCGGUUCUCAUCCAAUCACUGAAGUUAAGCAACGUCGAGACUAGUGAGUACUUAGAUAGGUGAGCACUUGGGAAACCUAGGUGCUGUAAGCG
rnacentral:rRNA from 1 species